CUGGCCUCGAACUCAGAAAUCCACCUGCCUCUGCCUCCCAAGUGUUGGGAUUAUAGGUGUACGCCACCACCACCCAGCCAGCCCUGACUUUCCCAAACACACUAAUUGUAAGUGACUUUAAGUGACAUUGUAGAUGAAGAAUAAAUGAUCUUCCUGGCAUUGCUUUUAUUCAUUUAGGGUUGCACUGCAUGGUGAGUUAAAUCUUGCCCUGCCCUCUCUCUUCUCUCCAGGAUCUCAGUUGUAUCUGUUGCAUGGCUCACUCUCUAUUCACUGGGUAGCCAACUUGGCCUGUAGAUCACUGGGACUGCCCUUAAUAGUGCUCAGGUUUAGGCAACCUUUGGUUUACUUAGUGGCUCCGAAGUGUGAGAGUAGUGAUGCUGACCACUUGGGCAUGGCAAAGAGAAGACAUAAAGCGUUUCUUGUGAGCAAAACGUGAAUUCUGUUCUCACUUAAUGAGGAAAGGAAAAAGCCUAUGCCAAGACUAGGAUCUACCAUAAAAACGAAUCUGGUGGUCACACUAUAAACUGCCAAAGAUACAGCCACACAACACAAACACUUGUCUGUACAUAUAAGAAGAGUGCACAGUGUAUACCGGGAUCUAUAAUGCCCACAGUUUCACUUCUACCUAGUAUGUUGGAACAUAAGUCUAUGUAGGUGGGGAGCUAUGGAAAUCAUUGUUUUAGUAAGUCAGACUUCACCGAGCAUCCUCCAACCAAUAAACCCACAGUGAAAUAAACUAUGGACAUUCCCAGUUAAAAAAAUGAAAAAUUAAACAAAACAGGUACAUGCCUGACCUCCCUGGAGAUUGACAAAUUCCUUAAGAUCACUGAGACUUCUCUACAUACAGCAAAAUAUGCUGGCUUGAUGUCAAUAUUACUGAUUCAUCUUAUGAAGGAACACUGUGCUACAAUAAUUUUAAGAUAUGAGACUUAAAUCUUUUGAAAAUUGUAUUUAUGUAUUGUGGUGUGUGUGUGUGUGUGUGUGUGUGUGUGUGUGUGUGUGUGUGUGAACAACUUGUGGGAAUUGGCUCUCUUCUUUGGUGAACUCAGGUCCUCAGGCUUGGCAGCAAAUGUCUUUAACUGCUGAGCCAUCUUUCCAGCCCUCAUGGUUUGGGACUUUUAAGAGUACGGUAGGAGUGUCUCUUACAGCCAAUCUCUGUUGGUAUGAGUUUGUUAAUGUUGGCAACAGUCCCUGGUGAUUUUCCAGAAAUGACAUUGCAGUCUUUUAAAGAGUGUCAAGGAUGGCUGUCAAGACAAAAAAACUACAACUGUGACAGGUUCUGUAAUAGGCUCCCAGAUCUUAGCACAGCAGACUCCAUGAUAGAAGUACUAUUCAGGCUAUGAAACUCAGCACAUAGGUCAGACAGUGAUGGCACAUGCCUUUAGUCCCAGUUCUCAGGAGGCAGAGGCAGAUGGACUUCUGAGUUUAAGGUCAGUCUAGUCUACAGAGUGAGUUGUAGGACAGCCAGGGGCAUUUAUAGAGAAACUGCCUCAAAAACAAACAAACAAACAGCAAACUACAAAAAAAAAAAAAACACAAAAACACAAAACAAACCAAAAGCCUAAACCAGCAACAACAACCCCCCAGCACAUAGCACCACCUGCCAAAAUGUAAACAAAGAUUUGAUCAACAAAAUCAAAGUCCAUAGUUCUGGGAAGUUCCUAAAUGUACUAGUCUCGAUGUUUUGGCUUUUGUGGUUCUGCUUCUGGCUAGCUAUUUGUUUUAGCAGAACUGUGUCAACCUGGGCUAUGACUACCUUGAGAAAGGCUCUGAGGUAUACUGAGAUCCUCAACAUCAAGUGUGCUCUGGUUGGCUAAUAAAGACUUUUUGUUGGCUUAAACCUGUAUCUGAGUAGUCUUCUCUGGUGGACAAUCCCACAACAGGUCCAAAAUCCAACUAGGCCCAGCUUUCCAUGGACAUACUACCUCCAGUAUAAGCAAGCACUUAAACUCCUAGUUGACAGCUACCCAUGUGGGUCUGAAGAAUGCCGUGGCAUCUCUAGUCUUAGGACAACAGUGGGCAGCAAAUAUUCCUCACAGCCUCUCUCUCUCUCUUUGGUUGUUUCUAGAGCCCAUCAUCCAUGAAGCAUUUAUGGAAGUCUAGAUUCUGCUAGCCAGCACAAGUUUCUCUAUUCUACACCACUUUAUAUCUUGGAAAUUUUGGCGAUCUCCUUAAAAUCAGAUCUCCAUGCUUAAAAUCAGCCAUGCUGAGAGGUGAGGAGGGGCUUUGUAAAGAGAUAAUUAGGACAUGAGUAUUCUGUCCUCCUUCACAGAUUAAUUUGUUAUCACGAGACAAGGUUAAAAUUAAAAUCAGAUCUUAGUCCUUAGGUAUUGAAUUUUUCAGUCCCUAGGACUGUAAAAAACCCCCCACAAAAUUUCUUUAUAAAUAACUCAGACCUUAACAACACAGAAAAGAUCAAGAUGCUGUGACAAUGUUUAAUGUUAACAUGACUAGAUUUGGAAUCACGGAGGAGACAUACUUCUGGUAUAUCCUCGAGGAUGCUUCCAGACAGAUUCCACCAAGGAGGAAAGACCCACCCCGAAUGUGGAGAGCAUCCUCUUGUAGGCUAGGGUUUGAACUGAAUAAAAGGAAAAAGAGAAGAAGUCGCAUGAGGGCCAGCACCUACCUCUCUGCUUCCUGACUGCGGAUUAACUGUGACCAGCUGCCUCACAUCACAGGGAGUACUUCCCUUGCUGCUCUUGUCUUUCCUGCCAUGACUGGACUGUGCCCUCCAACCAUAAGCCGAAGUAAACCCCUCUUCCUUAGGUUGUGCUUGUCAAGUAUGUUGUCAUGGCAACAAGAAAAGUUGCUACUACAGAACACUAGUACCAAGAGAUGGGGUUGUUACUGUGAGAAAACCUGCCCAUGUAGCUGUGAGGCCUUCUGAACUGAUGUGAGGGAGGAAUGUGGAAGCUUUUGGAGCCCUGAGCUAUAGCAUGUGUGGGGAGCUCAGACAGCCAGAAUGCUGAUAGAGAUGGAGACGCUCAAUGUGGUUUCAGAGGGAAACAAAGACUUUAUUGAGCAUUGGACCUGAAGUUCUGUGUAUUAUAUUCUGGAGUCCCCAAAUGAGCUUGUUUUCUUCCCAUAUGCUUAUAACUGAGUGAGGCUGAAUUCAAAAGCAGUGGACCACGUUGUUUGGCAGCAGAGAUUUCAAGACUACAGAACGUUCAGGUUAUGGCAUAGUUCCUUACUGCUUACUGUAUUGACUGAGAUUCAUAAUGAUAUUUCAAAGCACAAAGACACGGAAAAAUGUACAGAUAGGUCAAAAAAGGAGUGGAAGCCAACUUGAAGACUCCAACAAAAUCAGUGCCUAGAAAGCACCUAUAAUUGCUGAAGAGACUAGUGCCAUUGAAGAGCCACCAAAUGCUCCUCAAUAGGACAGUAGGGAACGCCUGACCCACCCAUUGAAAGCUAUUACUUAUGAUAAUGUGAGUUUGAAAAGGGGUCUUGAAAGGGGUUCCCUUUUCAAAACAACCACCACCUAGGGGAGUGUUUUCCCAGGUUCAGCCGCUAAGGUGCAGAGCUAUAGCUAUGAGAGACAAUGUCAGACUGUACCUAGAGCUAAUAGAAUUACUAAUUAAUAAUUGCCUGCAUUAUGCUGGCUUGGCAGGCUUGUAAAGUGCAAGAGUGAGCGGCACCCUGAGGGUUUGCAACAAGGAUCCAGAGAACUGCUGCCAUCAAGUCAAGUGUGGAAGGGUCUGAUUCUUUAAAAACAAGUCUUCACAUCCCUUUUACCCAGGAUCUACUUUCCAUCCCUGCAAAACAGUGCCUAGAGAUGUAGCCCAGCUGGUGGAGUGCUUGUCUCUUGUGUUCGAAUCCCUGUGUUUGAUAGCCAGCACUACAUAAACUGGGUGUGGUGGUGUACACCAAUAAUCCCAGCACCUAGGAGGUAGAGGCAAGAGGAUCAGAAUGUCAAGAUCAAGACAUAGAGCACACUAAAUCAGUGGAUCAACCAAAAACCAAUUGUAACAGGGGCCCAGACCUUAGUGCAACUGACUCCAUGAUGCAAACGCCAUACUGUGAAACUCAGCUUCUCCAGUUUAUUGUCCUAGCCAACUCUUCCUUUCAUUUUGUCUGCCCUAUGUCUGUAUUUUCCCAUACUGGACAGGAUGAGAAGUUGACUUUCGAGCCUGGACUCCCACUUCUCCACUCACUGCCCAGUGAACAGAUUUGUGCUAUUAGUGCUCAGCCUCAGUUUCCCCUUUCAUUUUACAACACCAAGUAUGUCUCUUGGGAGGGCCUUCUCUCUGGGACCAACAGAUGGCAGAUAAAACCUCUCACCCCUUGCUCUAUGCAUCUUGUUUACCUGACUGCCCCUG
rnacentral:lncRNA from 1 species